GGUUGACCUCGGAUCAGGUAGGGAUACCCGCUGAACUUAAGCAUAUCAAUAAGCGGAGGAAAAGAAACCAACAGGGAUUGCCUCAGUAACGGCGAGUGAAGCGGCAACAGCUCAAAUUUGAAAUCUGGCACCUCUGGGGGCCCGAGUUGUAAUUUGUAGAGGAUGCUUCGGGCAAGGCCGCGGUCUAAUUUGCUUGGAACAGCGAGUCACAGAGGGUGAGAGUCCCGUCUCGGACCGUGCGCCGCGUCCAUGUGAAGCUCCUUCGACGAGUCGAGUUGUUUGGGAAUGCAGCUCUAAAUGGGUGGUAAAUUUCAUCUAAAGCUAAAUAUUGGCCAGAGACCGAUAGCGCACAAGUAGAGUGAUCGAAAGAUGAAAAGCACUUUGAAAAGAGAGUUAAACAGUAUGUGAAAUUGUUGAAAGGGAAGCGCUUGCAACCAGACUUGCGUGUGACGGUUCCCCCCGCCUUCUGGUGGGGCUACUCCGUCAUCUCCAGGCCAGCAUCGGUUUGGGUGGUCGGUCAAAGACCCCGGGAAUGUAUCUACCUCCGGGUCGACUUAUAGCCCGGGGUGCAAUGCGGCCCACCCGGACCGAGGAACGCGCUUCGGCCCGGAUGCUGGCGUAAUGGUUGUAAGCGGCCCGUCUUGAAACACGGACCAAGGAGUCUAACAUCUAUGCGAGUGUUUGGGUGUCAAACCCCUACGCGGAAUGAAAGUGAACGGAGGUAAGAACCCCGCAAGGGGCGCAUUAUCGACCGAUCCUGAUGUCUUCGGAUGGAUUUGAGUAAGAGCAUAGCUGUUGGGACCCGAAAGAUGGUGAACUAUGCCUGAAUAGGGUGAAGCCAGAGGAAACUCUGGUGGAGGCUCGCAGCGGUUCUGACGUGCAAAUCGAUNNNNNNNNNNNNNNNNNNNNNNNNNNNNNNNNNNNNNNNNNNNNNNNNNNNNNNNNNNNNNNNNNNNNNNNNNNNNNNNNNNNNNNNNNNNNNNNNNNNNCAACUGCCACUGGUUGGCCUAUGCGGCCGGUGAGAAGUUUUAACGUUCAGAGUCUACCUUCUGAUCUCGGUUCAGGGUCGUCGGUUUCACAUCUCUGCGAUCAGCGCUCGUGCGUCACCAAGCCUCAUCUUGAGGUGGCAAUUAACCAUGUGGCAAAUAUGGACAGACAACGGUGCCUCGGKGUCGUUCUCACUGUCUACAGGGGGGAUGUUUUGUAUAGCACACCCUGUAAGCACAGCACUGGGGGGUGUGAGACUGAACGGCUGACAACAUCCUGCCGAAAAUUAGUUACCACUGUCUUGCCCGAUGAGGCCGCUCUCCUUGUUCACGGCAGGGUUGAGGCGGACUGGGCUUCAGAUGCGUGAAGGUACAUGCUCUUUUGAUUUCGAAUCUUGAAACCCGCCGAGGCCAUUUUGGAACAUCUUACAGGCUCUAUAAAUAUAUUUUACACCCGACGGGAGACCUCCGUCGUGAUCACAUUUGUUACCUUUGCAGGAUUUAUUUUUAUGGGUUUAUGUCUUAUCGGUAUAUCUUUAAGCGUUGCCAGGUGGUUAAUCUCCCAACUUUCAGUUGGGUCAGUCUGGUACUUUGUAUUGGGCGACGUCGUCAGUCUUCGGGGAUGUCUUCACGGMUAUCCGAAGCCGUCCUUAUUCAGGGACGGUUCACAGACUAGACAGYGACGGCYGGAGCCUCUUAACCGGGGACGGUAAUUAUAUAGUCGAGUAAAGUUAUUGGAUCUUGCGAGUACUCAACCGGAACACUCGAGAGACUGUACAUCGUUAUAGUGCCCCUUAUUGGGCUUUUUUGGCUUCUUUAAGGUUGGUCUUGAACGAAUUCCGUAGCUUUUGAACKCUGGUAGCUGGUUCCUGUCGAAGUUUCCCUCAGGAUAGCAGUAACGUUUUCAGUUUUAUGAGGUAAAGCGAAUGAUUAGAGGCCUUGGGGUUGAAACAACCUUAACCUAUUCUCAAACUUUAAAUAUGUAAGAAGUCCUUGUUACUUAAUUGAACGUGGACAUUUGAAUGUAUCGUUACUAGUGGGCCAUUUUUGGUAAGCAGAACUGGCGAUGCGGGAUGAACCGAACGUGAGGUUAAGGUGCCGGAAUGUACGCUCAUCAGACACCACAAAAGGUGUCAAUGCAUCCAGACAGCCGGACGGUGGCCAUGGAAGUCGGAAUCCGCUUAGGAGUGUGUAACAACUCACCGGCCGAAUGCAUUGGCCCUGAAAAUGGAUGGCGCUUAAGCGUGCUACCUAUACCUCGCCGUUGGGGUUGAAAUGAUGCCCCAACGAGUAGG
rnacentral:rRNA from 1 species